UACGAAGGGGGCGAGCGUUGUUCGGAAUUACUGGGCGUAAAGGGCGCGCAGGCGGCUCUGAAAGUCAGAUGUGAAAGCCCCGGGCUUAACCUGGGAACUGCAUUUGAUACUCUGGAGCUUGAGUACGGGAGAGGAUAGUGGAAUUCCCAGUGUAGAGGUGAAAUUCGUAGAUAUUGGGAAGAACACCGGUGGCGAGGCGGCUAUCUGGACCGUAACUGACGCUGAGGAGC
rnacentral:rRNA from 1 species